GCCGCAGUUUGAUUUGGGUCGUACGGUGAGUAGUACUCGCGGAUUCCCAAUUCCGAAAGCGAAUUUAAGUCGGGAUUCCGGCAGCCAUCAAUCAGCUGUGUCUGCUCUUCUCCUGAAAUGUGAGUUCGUAGUUCUUUCAUCCCUUCAUCUCAUCUUUUGUUUUUGGGUGAUUUAAAAAUGGUGCUCCUAGGUAGUGAUCUUAGCCCCAGGUCAAGUCCGUACAGUAAACAGUAUUCCGCAAGACCAAUGGACGACAGUAAGACAUGCCAAGACUCGAACCAACAAUCAAUCGACUCCAACGGUGAUGGGUUGAUGGGCAUUUUCACCACUGGGCUACCAACCCCAUUCGUCUUCAUCUCUUCGUCCACUCUUCCGUAACAGACAGGCAAUAAUAAAUACAAAGAAGAAAGCUAACGACGCAGGAGAAGCUGAAGUGAUGGUUCUGCUUUGCUUCCUCCUGGAUCUUCGAAGCUUAUCGCCCUCACUGCUCAGAGACUUAAAACAGUGUUUGUUGCAGCUUGCGAAUCUCUACGCCGUUUCGUCAGUGAGGGGAGAGAGACACUCGGAAUCCCUCAGAGAUAGAAUCGGAUUGUGCUACGUCCGUAAAUGCAGAAUGUCUAGCUCCGAUGAGCUGAAGGUCGCAUACGCUCCGAGAGGAAAUUUCAGCCUCCGCGAUUUCCAUCACGCCGUUAAUAACUUACCUAGUGACACAUUUUUGGCCGACAUGAAUGGCUCGGGGGAUACCUGUGAUGUUGAAUGGGAAAGAUUCUUAAGUCAUGAAGUUUUAUACUCAUGGGGAAGUAAAGACAUAGUAAGGAAAGUAAUUUUCAUUUCUUGCUCGAUAGGAAGCAUCAGUCCCAUUACACGUAAGACUCUCAUGGAUGCAGCAGAUAAAUGUGUUUCAGUGGAGUUUUUAUUGUUGGAGCAAGAAUUGAACCUGGAAAAUGAUUUCUCUGGGAAAAUCAAGGAUUUCAUCAAUGGUAUCUCUGAUCUAGAGAACUGCUCACUUCAAUCCUGUCUUCCAGAGAAUUUGAACAAGUGUGCAGAUACAUGGUUCUUCUCCAGCUUGGUAAAACAGUGGCUACUGGAGCUGAAAGGGGACCUAGAAGAACCGCUACAGGCUGUUUUUCUCUUCAGGAACGAACUCGUGGGCUCUGCCAACCAGAUCUUCUGCAAUUUGUUUGCAUCUGUAAACCAGAUCAUUGAUGGGGUCAGCCCUUGCCAGACAUGCAGGUGUCAUGGCUUUCCCUUAGAUAUUGCAGUUGGAAAUUGGAUCAAUCAAACUUCUUGUCCAGUAACAUGUCAGGAUCUGGGGGUGCAUGAUUUGGUUGAAAACACAGUCAAGGUUGGAGAACACACAAUCCUGUUUCUACCCUCCUUCUGUAGCAGUCCAAAGCUGCAGCUAGUUUCCACACCUAUAGCCUUCAAUGUCAUUGAGCGCACCAAUUUGGAUGCCCUUAGUGAAGGUGUUGUACUUGGAACUUCCUACAUUGUCACUCCAGAGAAUCAUGAGAUGGAAACUACUUCUGAUGAAUAUGACAAGCCGGAAUUGAAGCCGGAAUUGAAUACUCAACGUGCGUGGCUGUCUAAUUUUUUCCAAGGGCUUUGCCGAGCACUACAUUCAUUGGAUCAGGGUUUGGUCUGUUCUUCAAACUGUAAUAUGGAAACCAUGAAGGAGGCAACCUUCCAUUGCUUUUAUAUCCUUCAACCAUCAGACAAGGGGCUGAUGUUUCUCAGGAGGCUUGCAGGCUCAGAGGAGAUAUUGCCUGUUCAUGAAAAAAUUCAAUCAAUCAAUGCUCCAGCUCCAGAGGAGAUAGAGUUUUGCAUUCAGACCUCUUUAUCAAAGAUGGACUUGAGAGACUACAACCCUCUAGAGCACGAGAGAGGCUUUCAUCCAAAGCUAAACUUACUAGUGAAAGAGAGCUUACAAUUUGGGUCAAUACCACCAAAACGGAAGGAGUUUAUAUCUGAACAUGACUCAUCUGAGCUGGAGCCUUUAGAGGUCAUGUCACCGAUAUCAUCAACAAAGGCAGGUUACAAAGUAGAAGAGGAACAACGGAAACUGACCCAGGCCACUGAAGCAGGUAAUAGUCCUGCUAGUAUGACGGUGGAAUGGGAGCAACUCUUUGUCAAUAGAGUCCCCACAAUAUGUUCCCCCACUUGUCUCUCCAAGCCCAUGAUGAAGAAAUCAGUUGUCACUCCACCGGAUGGUAAUAAACCCUUGGAUGAGAAAACCUCAAAGAUCUUGGAAAGGCUGGAGGUCCCCCGGCAGCUGAAAACAAAGCUAUCUCCAUCUGUUGUCAUAAGCAGUGUGAGGACAGAUGCAUGUGUGCCCAUGAAGAAGCCUCUGGUACCAUUUCAGCCCAACCAUGUGACUGACUACAGUUCAACCUCAUCCCAGCCAAUCAAACCUAAUUUCCAAAGGUUGAAGAGGAAGCAACGAUAACUGGUUUCAUUGUUCCUCAUGAUAGUAAUGAUAAUGACCCAAAAAUGAAAAAAAGGAAGAGAAAAAGAAUCUUCACUUAAGUAUGGGCAGGAUUCUCCAUUGGCAAGGGGUGCAUCUGAUUUUGCCGCUGGGAACAUGCACAUAGAUCUGUUUUUGGUGAGCUUGAUGGAUGAUAGCAGGUACACACUACAAGAUCGAGAGAGUGGGAGUCAGGUAUAGAAAAUAAAAGGAGUGAUGGAAGAGGAGUCAGCCUCCAAUAGCGCACGUGAGAGAAUGGAAUCAUGGAUGAGGACUCAGGUGUGGGACAGGGAUGGACAUUCUGGAAGAUGCGCUGAAGAUGGGCAUGGACGACUGUGAUGGAGGACAGGGAGCAUCGAGCCAUCGAUAUCGAAAUCGAUAGUCUUCACCUAACCCAUCCGUUGCUGGCUGGCUUUUUGCUGGUCCUCACACUCUCUCAGGGACCGGACGACGACUCACACGGCUUCACACUUACGGCGCGAGCGGCUGAGUUGGAGACUUUUUUAAGAGUUUAGAGUUUAGAGUGAGUCAUGAUGAGUCUGGUAUCAUUUUGGUAAAAUUUCCUUAUUUGAGACGUUUAUUGGGUAAUAAUGCACUUACUUAUUAAUUACCGUAAACACAUAAUUAAAUGUACGGAUAGACUAGCAGUUGGAUCA